rnacentral:tRNA from 1 species
GCCUGGGUGGCUCAAUUGGUUAAGCGUCUGACUUUGACUCAGGUUGUGAUCUUGCGGUUUGUGGGUUCGAGCCCCAUGUUGGGCU